AGUGAACGCUGGCGGCAGGCCCAACACAUGCAAGUCGAGCGGCAGCGCGUCCGACCACCCUCGGGUGGUCGGAUGGCGGCGAGCGGCGGACGGGUGAGGAAUGCAUCGGAAUCUGCCUCGUUGUGGGGGGAUAACGUAGGGAAACUUACGCUAAUACCGCAUACGACCUACGGGUGAAAGUGGGGGGACCUUCGGGCCUCACGCGAUGAGAUGAGCCGAUGCCGGAUUAGCUAGUUGGCGGGGUAAAGGCCCACCAAGGCGACGAUCCGUAGCUGGUCUGAGAGGAUGAUCAGCCACACUGGAACUGAGACACGGUCCAGACUCCUACGGGAGGCAGCAGUGGGGAAUAUUGGACAAUGGGGGCAACCCUGAUCCAGCCAUGCCGCGUGUGUGAAGAAGGCC
rnacentral:rRNA from 1 species